AAACUUCUGAUAAUACUGGAUAAGUUAGUAUAUCGCAUGAUAUACAAAUGAAAGCUACGGCACUAAAGGAGAGCUUUGCGUCCUAUUAGCUAGUUGGUAAGGUAAAAGCUUACCAAGGCGAUGAUAGGUAGCCGGCCUGAGAGGGUGGACGGCCACAAGGGGACUGAGAUACGGCCCUUACUCCUACGGGAGGCAGCAGAG
rnacentral:rRNA from 1 species